rnacentral:rRNA from 1 species
CGCCUGGGGAGUACGGGUGAGGUAACGGCUCACCAAGGCAUCGACGGGUAGCUGGUCUGAGAGGAUGAUCAGCCACACUGGGACUGAGACACGGCCCAGACUCCUACGGGAGGCAGCAGUAGGGAAUAUUGCACAAUGGGCGAAAGCCUGAUGCAGCAACGCCGCGUGCGGGAAGAAGGCCCUAGGGUUGUAAACCGCUUUCAGCAGGGAAGAAAAUGACGGUACCUGCAGAAGAAGGUGCGGCCAACCACGUGCCAGCAGCCGCGGUGACACGUAGGCACCAAGCGUUGUCCGGAUUUAUUGGGCGUAAAGAGCUCGUAGGCGGUUCAGUUAGUCGGGUGUGAAAACUCUGGGCUCAACCUAGAGACGCCACUCGAUACUGCUGUGACUAGAGUGCGGUAGGGGAGCGGGGAAUUCCUAGUGUAGCGGUGAAAUGCGCAGAUAUUAGGAGGAACACCAGUGGCGAAGGCGCCGCUCUGGGCCGUAACUGACGCUGAGGAGCGAAAGCGUGGGUAGCAAACAGGAUUAGAUACCCUGGUAGUCCACGCCGUAAACGUUGGGCACUAGGUGUGGGUCUCAACCAACGAGAUCCGCGCCGUCGCUAACGCAUUAAGUGCCCCGCCUGGGGAGUACGG